GAGAGCAGCAGCAGGGAGCUGGCCAUGGGCUGGGAGGAGGCAGGUGCAAGGUGCUGGGGAUGGCCAGGUGGAAGAGAAGGAGCAGAAAAGGAGGAGCUUGUGGAUAUCUUCAUGUGGAGAGGCAGGGCUCUGUUUUAAAAAGAUGAAGUAAUUGUAACAUUUCAAAAGUAAGUUGCACUUAUUAGGUCAUUUUUAAGGAAAGGACUGUUAUCCCCUCUCCUGGGCCUUUCCACAGCUCUGUCCUGCCUGGUGCUCAUAGAUGGACCUUCACUGGAGCUGCAGAUGCUGCUGGGCUAAAGAGGAGCUGCUGCAAAGGGAAGAUCUCAGUUCAGAGCAGGAAACACUCCUCUGUUCUUCCUUUCCAUUGAAGCUGGAGGCAGUUUUGUGCCACUGCAGUGCAUGGAAAGAUCUCCUGAGAACUUGGAACAGCUUGAAUUUGACAGAUCAGAUUUGUGAAAAGCCAUAAAAGAGAAGAAUCCUCAUCUCCUCCUGCCUUCAGCUUCACCCUUGUGUGGACAUUACAUUUAUUUGUGUGCUCUGUGGACUGGGGCACACCAAAGGCACAAGUUCUCCAGUAUUUUAUCCCUAAUGGUGGCCAAUAAUUGGUGCCAAGGAAAUAAAUAAAGGAAAAAACCCCAAUAACAGGAUUUCACAAUUGCCAUGUCCCAGAGGAAAUUCUUGGAGACCAGUCUGGCAAGGAAGAACUUCACAACUUUCUCUGGCAAAAACUGUGAGAUAUUCAUUUAAGUACAUAGAGCUAAAGCAGAUAUCCCUGGGCAAGGUGGGAAUGAAAUGAUGGGAAUUUAUCAGAGCAGAUGAAAAUGACUGUUUACCUGCUGGAAAGGUGAAAAGGACCUGGACUGGUACUCAGGAUUCUCACAAAAG